rnacentral:rRNA from 1 species
UGAGUUGCGAACGGGUGAGUAACGCGUAGGUAACCUGCCUCUUAGCGGGGGAUAACUAUUGGAAACGAUAGCUAAUACCGCAUAAAAGACGAUAUCGCAUGAUAUUGAUUUGAAAGGUGCAAAUGCAUCACUAAGAGAUGGACCUGCGUUGUAUUAGCUAGUUGGUGAGGUAACGGCUCACCAAGGCAACGAUACAUAGCCGACCUGAGAGGGUGAUCGGCCACACUGGGACUGAGACACGGCCCAG